rnacentral:rRNA from 1 species
UGCGUAGGUGGUCUUGUAAGUCAGAAGUGAAAGGCUACGGCUUAACCGUAGUAAGCUUUUGAAACUGCAGGACUUGAUGCAGGAGAGGAAAGUGGAAUUCCUAGUGUAGCGGUGAAAUGCGUAGAUAUUAGGAGGAACACCAGUGGCGAAGGCGACUUUCUGGACUGUUACUGACACUGAGGCGCGAAAGCGUGGGGAGCGAACA